AGUACAUGAUGGUGUUUGUAACUUUGUAUACUAUCUGUUUACAUUUGAGAGUUGAAACUAUACUUUCAUACAAGUUACACUGGACUUGCUUUGAGUAGCUGAACCCAAUAGCACAUCCCAGGUCUUCUUGCAUCAGCUGACCACAAGAUCCCAACAGAUGGCACACAAAUUAGAACGAGGUGGUCCUGAGUUCACCACCUGCGACGCUUCCUGCCAUACCAAUAACCAAUCGCAGCGAUUGACACUGCUGCGACCACACCAGCUGUGGCAUGCCAUGCGUAAGUAGGUUUUCCAACCACGGCAAGCCCACAGUCAGGCGCUUCCGUCUGGCUCUCCUGAAUGGCAAACGCCAGGCCUUGUUUUUCAAGUUCAGCCAUGUUUGCGACCUUUGCUUUCCGCCGAACAGCUACUGAUAUGGCCUCGUAUUCAUCCCGACUUCCACCUUCAAGAAAUGCACCUGCAAUUCGGCCUUUAUUGACCCAAUAUGCACCAAACCUUGGGCUGCUGCUUGUGAAGUCUCCAAAGUGAACCACUUCCCCAACAUUAUCCCCAUAGAACUGCCAGGACAGUGUGAAGACCCUGGAGUAGAAGAAUGGUAGGUAAUCGAUGUCCCUGGUUUUUGAAGGCUCCAAGAUGGAUGCAACGGCAUGCCUAGCAGUUCUUCGAGCUGAAUCAACAUGCUCAAGCCGUCGGAUAUCACCAUCAAAAAGCUUGAUGGGGAAUGCAGCAACAUCUCCAACAGCAUAUACAGAGCUGUCACUUGUCUGCAGCUGUCCAUUUACCUUUAUCCCACCAUUCUCCAUUGACAUCACAAGCUGACCUUCAAAAAGACUAGUGUUCGCACGGAUGCCAAUACCAACCACUACCAUAUCAGCAGGAAGGUGUCUACCAUCUUUGAGGAUUACCGCAGUCACCUGUGCAUACACGGGAACAAUAUUAUUUUUAACUAUCAACUUAACAACAACAGUACUAGCUUAAGUUUCUUAUACUGCUUAAGGUGCUUUAAAAUGGUAGAGCUAAUAGUGGUUGAUAUUCAUAGCCUAAAUACGCCAGAUUCAGUAAAGAGAUUUAGAGGAAUUGAUGAAUCUGUGUUAGCUCAUCAUUGACAUCGAGUCAUUGUUGCUGGAACAUACUGUUUCAGAAAUAAGCCAUUUCUAUUCCAGGGCUAUCAACAAUCAAAUCAUGCAAUACCAAGAUGUCAUAAACUAGAUAGCUUAUCCGAUUACGUGUAGGCUGAUCCAGGUGAAUCUAAGAGACUGGAUUAGGAUCAAAUCAAUAGCAAAAUUUGAAAAAAUUCUCCCGAAAAAUGGAAAACCUAGUUUAUAGCCAUCUACCAAUGAAAUGAAGUAGAUAUAGGUGGAUGAAAAUGUCUAAUAGUUAUCCAUAUGUACUACCAGGAAGUGCUGAAAAAGAGGCUCUGGACCAUGACUUGGUUAUAUGACUAUGACUUUUUACUUGGUACUAGAUGUAAAAUUGCUAUUUAUCUAUCUCAAGCCUGUUCCAGUUUCAUGGUAUGGAACUAUGGAAACUCACCUUCCCUGUCGUGUCUCUUUCAAAGGAUGUAAGCACAGUUCCUUUAACAAAGGUGACCCCUCUUGAGGUGUAGUAGUCUUCAUAAUAUUCUGCAAUUUUUUCUGUAAAUAGACGACCCACUGCAGAAAUAAAUCAAGUUCAUAUUUAGAUCAGCAGGAGAGGUAUUAUAGCAUGCUGGGAGCCCUGCCACAAAGAGUUCAAACUUUAUUUAGGUGAUGAAAUCAACUACUUACUGCAGUGUUUCUCAGGGAAGACCAUGGUGACCCUUAUCUUGUUAGUGACCAAUGCCGCUGCACAUUCCAUUCCAAUGUAGCCACCACCAAUGACAACAGCAUUUCCACCAGGACAUGAUUUCAUCGCAUUGACCAACUUAUCCGCAUCAUCAAUAUUGCGUAAAUAACAUAUGUUUGAAGCAUCUGAACCUUGUAUUCCAAAUUCUUGCAACUUCAGAGCCUAUGUUAUGUAAAGAAAGAAAGUUAGACAAAUACAUAAAUCAAACAUCACAAACUAGAUCAUUAUUUAACAGUAAAGGAUAGCAAGUGUUAUGAAGAAUUGAAUUUGAAACGAAAAUAAUUGGACGAAAAAAGAAGUACAAACAGAUCCAAUACCCGAGCACCUGUCGCAAUAAUAAGAGUUUUAUAGCUGAUAGUUUCUCCUGUGGCUGUAAGCAAUGUCUUGCGCCUCACGUCAGCAGAAAUCACUUUUGUUCCAAGAACAAGUUCAAUGCCUAAUUGAGUAAAGUAGUAGUUAGAAAAAUAGAAAAUAUCAUGUUCACCGCACUCUUACAAGAAAACAGAAUAUAUCAUGGUCACGCACUCUUACAGGAACAAUGACAGAGGACGAUAAUACGAUCCUUCGAACUGAAUGAAAGAAUAGAUUACUAUAUGGAUGGAUCUACUGAAUAAGUUGCACAGGUCAUGACCAAUAAGAUGCUACUUAAAUAUCUAAUAAUCUAUAGCAUUUGCCAAUAUUUAAUAUAUGUGAUUAGUCAUAGAAUCAUAAAAUCCAGUAAAGAAGAUUGAAACCCUACCUUGUUCUUUGUACCAUUUUGUUGUCAGUAACUCAUCAUUAGCACCAACGCAAGUAUGAAAUCCUGGAAGACGAGCAGCACCUGCAAAUAUCUCAGAGGUUAACAACAGUCAGCGAUAUUAACAAUGCACUGACGAAGGUUAAGGAUGCAAUCCACACAUGUUUUUCGCAAACACUCCUUGAUCCGUGACUGAAAAAGGCACGCACCUUCCGGGAGCAGAUAGCCUUUGCUUAGCGCAGGACGUUCGUAAGGAGCAACCUGUCGAGUGAUUGGAGAAAUGAUUGCUCAGGAAAAAAAAAUCACAGAAUGCUCAAUCGAACAGCAAAAGGCAGAGCGUGAUAAGGAAAGGAUGGAAGGAAAGCAUACGGCCUCCUCGGAGAUGAUGCAGAGCUCGCCGGGGGCGGCGUCGCCGCGGCGGCGGACGAACUCGAGCGCCGCGUAGCCCGCGGCCACGCCGCCGCCCAGUAUCACGUACGUGAACGCGCGGCCCAUCUGGUUCCUUCGCACCGUAAUUCUCCCUCUCUGUCUUCCUCUCUCCCAAGUCUCGUCGUUUCCCGUCCGCCAUGGACGAGCUUUAAGUAGCCGUGAUCGCAGCACGGUUCGAUCGGGCCCCUCCGACCAGGUUCUUGGCUUGCGGGCAGGAGAGCAGGCGCGGGGCCGGCGUGGCAGGAAAAACUAUGCCUUGCCCGCCUCUCCUCCCGCGGGGCCCGAUCGGUGCCGUUCUUUCCCUCGUCGUCAAGGAAAUAUUGGAAUCCUUCUGGGUAAAGAAAAGCUUCACCAUCUUUUCAGAACGUUGAUAAUGCAUCUUUCCAGAAUGUUGGUAAUAUUAGUUGAUGCUGGAACAUCAUAUGAUACGAGCAUCGGUGCUAAUCAGGUGGGCUUUUGCCUUUUGGACAUACUUUUUUAGAAAACGUGCUCACCACACAUUUCAUUAAGGGAGAAAGGAAGUACAACAGUUUUUUGCACAAAAGAAAGCAGAGACGGUGAGACAGGAAAAUAAAACAGGACAGAGCAAAAGAGAGACCUAACGCCAGAGGCACACAGACACACGCGCAACAGCUAGCACGACCUCGGAUGGGACAAAGUGGCCAGCAAGGUCACAGAACUCUGCAUCUCAUUUGGGGAAAGAAUUGUGAUUUUACAACAAGAGUGCUCCUGAUAGUUUAGCAGCAGAAUUUUGCUCAUUAAACAGUACAUGAUGGUGUUUGUAACUUUGUAUACUAUCUGUUUACAUUUGAGAGUUGAAACUAUACUUUCAUACAAGUUACACUGGACUUGCUUUGAGUAGCUGAACCCAAUAGCACAUCCCAGGUCUUCUUGCAUCAGCUGACCACAAGAUCCCAACAGAUGGCACACAAAUUAGAACGAGGUGGUCCUGAGUUCACCACCUGCGACGCUUCCUGCCAUACCAAUAACCAAUCGCAGCGAUUGACACUGCUGCGACCACACCAGCUGUGGCAUGCCAUGCG
rnacentral:lncRNA from 1 species